rnacentral:rRNA from 1 species
UACGAAGGGGGCUAGCGUUGUUCGGAAUUACUGGGCGUAAAGCGCGCGUAGGCGGCUUUGUAGGUUAGAGGUGAAAGCCCGGGGCUCAACUCCGGAAUUGCCUUUAAGACUGCAUCGCUUGAAUCCAGGAGAGGUGAGUGGAAUUCCGAGUGUAGAGGUGAAAUUCGUAGAUAUUCGGAAGAACACCAGUGGCGAAGGCGGCUCACUGGACUGGUAUUGACGCUGAGGUGCGAAAGCGUGGGGAGCAAACAGG